rnacentral:rRNA from 1 species
UACGAAGGGUGCAAGCGUUACUCGGAAUCACUGGGCUUAAAGCGUGUGUAGGCGGACUUCUAAGUGCCUUGUGAAAUCCCACGGCUCACCCGUGGAACUGCUGGGCAUACUGGGAGUCUUGAGCCACCUAGGGGCGAGCGGAACAAAUGGUGGAGCGGUGAAAUGCGUAGAUAUCAUUUGGAACGCCAACGGAGAAAUCAGCUCGCUGGGGGUGUGCUGACGCUGAGACACGAAAGCCAGGGGAGCGAACGGG